rnacentral:rRNA from 1 species
AUUGAACGCUGGCGGCAGGCUUAACACAUGCAAGUCGAGCGGGGGAAGGUAGCUUGCUACUGGACCUAGCGGCGGACGGGUGAGUAAUGCUUAGGAAUCUGCCUAUUAGUGGGGGACAACAUCUCGAAAGGGAUGCUAAUACCGCAUACGUCCUACGGGAGAAAGCAGGGGAUCUUCGGACCUUGCGCUAAUAGAUGAGCCUAAGUCGGAUUAGCUAGUUGGUGGGGUAAAGGCCUACCAAGGCGACGAUCUGUAGCGGGUCUGAGAGGAUGAUCCGCCACACUGGGACUGAGACACGGCCCAGACUCCUACGGGAGGCAGCAGUGGGGAAUAUUGGACAAUGGGGGGAACCCUGAUCCAGCCAUGCCGCGUGUGUGAAGAAGGCCUUAUGGUUGUAAAGCACUUUAAGCGAGGAGGAGGCUACUUUAGUUAAUACCUAGAGAUAGUGGACGUUACUCGCAGAAUAAGCACCGGCUAACUCUGUGCCAGCAGCCGCAGUAA